rnacentral:misc_RNA from 1 species
GAUGAAGAACGUAGCGAAAUGCGAUAAGUAAUGUGAAUUGCAGAAUUCAGUGAACCAUCGAAUCUUUGAACGCACAUUGCGCCCGCCAGUAUUCUGGCGGGCAUGCCUGUCCGAGCGUCAUCUCAACCCUCGAGCCCCCCCGGGGGCUCGGCGUUGGGGACCGGCCCCGCCCCAGGGCGCGCCGCCCCCCAAAUCCAGUGGCGGUCCCGCCGCAGCCUCCCCUGCGCAGUAGCUUGCACCCUCGCACCGGAGAGCGGCGCGGCCACGCCGUAAAACCCCCCGACCACGGAGCCCCGGCUCCUGAACGUUGACCUCGGAUCAGGUAGGAAUACCCGCUGAACUUAAGCAUAUCAAUAAGCGGAGGA